UUGAUCCUGGCUCAGAUUGAACGCUGGCGGCAUGCUUUACACAUGCAAGUCGAACGGCAGCGGGGGCUUCGGCCUGCCGGCGAGUGGCGAACGGGUGAGUAAUGCAUCGGAACGUGCCCAUGUCGUGGGGGAUAACGUAUCGAAAGGUACGCUAAUACCGCAUACGCCCUGAGGGGGAAAGCGGGGGAUUCUUCGGAACCUCGCGCGAUUGGAGCGGCCGAUGUCGGAUUAGCUAGUAGGUGAGGUAAAGGCUCACCUAGGCGACGAUCCGUAGCGGGUCUGAGAGGAUGAUCCGCCACACUGGGACUGAGACACGGCCCAGACUCCUACGGGAGGCAGCAGUGGGGAAUUUUGGACAAUGGGCGCAAGCCUGAUCCAGCCAUGCCGCGUGAGUGAAGAAGGCCUUCGGGUUGUAAAGCUCUUUCGGCCGGGAAGAAAUCG
rnacentral:rRNA from 1 species